rnacentral:rRNA from 1 species
AUUGAACGCUGGCGGCAUGCUUUACACAUGCAAGUCGAACGGUAACAGGCCUUCGGGUGCUGACGAGUGGCGAACGGGUGAGUAAUGCAUCGGAACGUACCCAGAGGUGGGGGAUAACGCAGCGAAAGCUGUGCUAAUACCGCAUGUGAUCUGAGGAUGAAAGCGGGGGACCGAGCAGCAAUGUUUGGCCUCGCGCCUUUGGAGCGGCCGAUGUCGGAUUAGCUAGUUGGUGGGGUAAAGGCCUACCAAGGCGACGAUCCGUAGCUGGUCUGAGAGGACGAUCAGCCAAACUGGGACUGAGACACGGCCCAGACUCCUAAGGGAGGCAGCAGUGGGGAAUUUUGGACAAUGGGCGCAAGCCUGAUCCAGCAAUGCCGCGUGCGGGAAGAAGGCCUUCGGGUUGUAAACCGCCUUUGGCAGGAACGAAACGGUGUCCGCUAAUACCGGGCGCUAAUGACGGUACCUGCAGAAUAAGCACCGGCUAACUACGUG